rnacentral:rRNA from 1 species
GACGAACGCUGGCGGCGUGCUUAAUACAUGCAAGUCGAACGGACAGGCCCUGCUCUUGCUGGGUGCUCGAUUGGCGAACGGGUGUGUAAAACGCGUGUAACCCGCCCUUGUCUUUCGGAUAACUCUUGGGAACUGCGGAUCAUAUAGGAUAGGAGCUCCUGCUGCACGGUGGGGGUUGGUAAGAUUCGGCGGUUGGGGAUGGACUCGCGGCUUAUCAGCUUGAUGGUGGGGUAGUGGCUUACCAAGGCUUUGACGGAUAGCCGGCCUGAGAGGGUGACCGGCCACAUGAGUACUACGAGACGGCCCAGACUCCUACGGGAGGCAGCAGUGGGGAAUAUGACAGAAUGGGCGGAAGCCUGAUGCAGCAGCGCCGCGUGCGGAAUGACGGCCUACGAGUUAUGAACCGCUUUCGCCUGUGACGAAGCGUGAGUGACGGUAAUGGGUAAGAAAGCACCGGCUAACUACGUG